rnacentral:rRNA from 1 species
GACGAACGCUGGCGGCGUGCCUAAUACAUGCAAGUAGAACGCACAGUUUAUACCGUAGCUCGCUACACCAUAGACUCUGAGGUGCGAAUGAGUGAGUAAUGCCCAGCUUACCUGCCUGGUAGCGGUGGAUAACCAUAGGAAACGCUAGCUAAUACCGCAUAAUAUUAAUUAUUGCAAGAUAAUUAAUUGAAUGGCGCAAUUGCACCACUACCAGACGGACCUUGGUUGUGUUAGCUAGUUGGUGAGGUAACGGCUCACCUAGGCGACGAUACAGAGCCGAGCUGAGAGGGUGAUCGGCCACACUGGGACUGAGACACGGCCCAGACCCCUACGGGAGGCAGCAGUAGGGAAGCUUCGGCAAUGGACGAAAGCCUGACCGAGCAACGCCGCGGGAGUGAAGAAGGUUUUCGGAUCGUAAAGCUCUGUUGUAAGUGAAGAACGGGUGUGAGAGUGGAAAGUUCACACUGUGACGGUAUCUUACCAGAAAGGGACGGCUAACUACGUG